GACAGAGGCCUCAAGCGUUUAGGCGGAAUCACUGGGCUUAAAGCGUGUGUAGGCGGAUCGUUAAGUGUCUUGUGAAAUCCCACGGCUCACCCGUGGAACUGCUGGGCAUACUGGCGAUCUUGGGCCAACUAGGGGCAACUGGAACAAGCGGUGGAGCGGUGAAAUGCGUAGAUAUCGCUUGGAACGCCAAAGGUGAAAACAGGUUGCUGGGGUUGUGCCGAC
rnacentral:rRNA from 1 species